rnacentral:misc_RNA from 1 species
GAUGAAGAACGUAGCAAAAUGCGAUACUUGGUGUGAAUUGCAGAAUCCCGUGAACCAUCGAGUUUUUGAACGCAAGUUGCGCCCGAAGCCUUUUGGCCGAGGGCACGUCUGCCUGGGCGUCACGCAUCGCGUCGCCCCCCACAAUUCUCCGUAAAAGGAACAUGUGUUUUGGGGGCGGAUAUUGGUCUCCCGUGCUCAUGGCGUGGUUGGCCGAAAUAGGAGUCCUUUCGAUGGACGCACGAACUAGUGGUGGUCGUAAAAACCCUCGUCUUUUGUUUCGUGCUGUUGCUCGCAAGGUAAACUCUUUAAAAACCCCAAUGUGUCGUCUCUUGACGACGCUUCGACCGCGACCCCAGGUCAGGCGGGACUACCCGCUGAGUUUAAGCAUAUCAAUAAGCGGAGA